GGGGAAUCUUGCGCAAUGGGCGAAAGUCUGACGCAGCAACGCCGCGUGGAGGAUGAAGGCCCUUGGGUUGUAAACUCCUGUCGGCUGGGAAGAAAUCGUUCGCGGCUAAUACCUGCGGACGUUGACUGUACCAGCAAAGGAAGCCCCGGCUAACGCUGUGCCAGCAGCCGCGGUAAUACAGGGGGGGCCAGCGUUAUUCGGAAUUAUUGGGCGUAAAGGGCGCGUAGGCGGCCAUGCGUGUCUUCCGUGAAAUCCCUCGGCUCAACCGAGGACGUGCGGAAGAAACUGCAAGGCUCGAGUCCAGAAGAGGGGGGCGGAAUUCCCAGUGUAGCGGUGAAAUGCGUAGAUAUUGGGAGGAACACCGGUGGCGAAGGCGGCCCCCUGGGCUGGUACUGACGCUGAGGCGCGAAAGCGUGGGUAGCAAA
rnacentral:rRNA from 1 species